UUCCAACUGCUUCCACAAUGGUCCUCUCAUUUUAUAUGUAUAUAUAUAUGUGUGGGCGCGCGUGUAUGUGAGUAUUAAUAGGGAGUAACAUUUUUAUCUCUCAGGAGCCUGUGUCUGUUGCUUUCUCUGCGCUUAACCUUGCAAUGCAUUUCCAUGGAUGGCUGUCCUUUUUCAUGCUUAUUUACUACAAGUUACAAUCAAAAGCUGAUGAGAAGACUUGCUACAGCUACUCUUCUUUGUGGCACAUUUACGCGUUCUUGUCUAUGAACUCAUGGCUAUGGAGUUCUGUCUUCCAAUCAAAAGGUGAUGGGAAGACCUGCUACACUUACACUUGUUUGUGGCACAUUUACGCGUUCUUGUCCAUGAACUCAUGGCUAUGGAGUGCUGUCUUCCACAGCCGGUAAGUUU
rnacentral:lncRNA from 1 species